CGGAGAGUAAGUCAAUUGGGAGACGGCGUGGCCUGGGACCACGUAGCUGGGGGUUCGAGUCCCUCCUCUCCGA
rnacentral:tRNA from 1 species